GAGGGCAGAACCUGUAGGUAUUACCCCUAAUGUGGGAUCUCUCCUGGUAAGGCAAACCCAGUAUCCUUUAAAAUCAGAAUGCCAGCUUGGAUUGGUUGCAGUAACAGCUAAAUUUGCUCCUCCUGGUUUGCUUGUAGGACGUGAAUGCGAGAACCUGCCAAGAAAACCAAUGGCCAAGAUGAUUGAUGAGUGCAGGACCUGAGAGAACCACCUUGAAUGACAACCUCGAGCAGUUUCCAGUAUUGGAUUGAAAAGAUGGCCUUUGCUGCAUCUCCUGGAGCAAGGAAAGCCAAGAAAGCUUUGCUUUGGAAGGAGAAAAUCUGGAAAGCUGGAAGGAAGAAGAGAAGCCACGUGACUCCUCCCUGAGCCCCAGACAGCCCCUGAACUGCCUUCCUGGGAAUGGUGGGACGGGCUGGACUCUGGAAUGCUCCCUCUGCAUGUGUGGCUCUCCCCUGCGGGAACUCCAGGAACUCCUGGUGCCGCCUGGGCCGAUGGAUUGGACGCCCCAGCCCCUCCGUUCCUGCCCAGCCCCUGGGGCCGUGUCGAGUGGUGGCACUGCCAGCCCCUGCAGGUGAGGGGGAAAGGGCCUUUGCAGGUCUUGGGGAUCACAUUUAUAGCAGUGGGAUGUAGCCUGGAAACUGCACUGCACUGAG